UACGGAGGGGGCGAGCGUUGUCCGAAGUUACUGGGCGUAAAGCGCGCGUAGGCGGGUUGGCAAGUCCGCUGUGAAAGCCCGGUGCUUAACGCCGGAGGGUCGGUGGAUACUGCCAGUCUUGAAGGUGCUAGGGGAAGAUGGAAUUACCAGUGUAGCGGUGAAAUGCGUAGAUAUUGGUAGGAACACCAGUGGCGAAGGCGGCCUGCUGGGCUAUGGCUGACACUGAGGCGCGACAGCGUGGGGGAGCAAACAGG
rnacentral:rRNA from 1 species